UUCUUUUCAAGAUCCUAUUUCCACUACAAAUGCAAGGAAAAAAAAAGUGUCCCUUUGCUCUCUGUCUGACUAUUGCAUUACAGAUUGAUUAGAGGAAUACAGGG
rnacentral:snoRNA from 1 species